rnacentral:rRNA from 1 species
GAGACCUUGCGCUUUUGGAGCGGCCGAUGCCUGAUUAGCUUGUUGGUAAGGUAAAAGCUUACCAAGGCUUCGAUCAGUAGCUGGUCUGAGAGGACGGCCAGCCACACUGGGACUGGGACACGGCCCAGACUCCUACGGGAGGCAGCAGUGGGGAAUUUUGGACAAUGGGGGCAACCCUGAUCCAGCCAUGCCGCGUGAGUGAAGAAGGCCUUCGGGUUGUAAAGCUCUUUCAGCCGGAACGAAACGGUUACGGUUAAUACCCGUGAUUACUGACGGUACCGGAAGAAGAAGCACCGGCUAACUACGUGCCAGCAGCCGCGGUAAUACGUGGGGUGCGAGCGUUAAUCGGAAUUACUGGGCGUAAAGCGUGCGCAGGUGGUUUUGUAAGUCAGAUGUGAAAGCCCCGGGCUCAACCUGGGAACU